rnacentral:rRNA from 1 species
ACAAAAACAUAGUUUAAAGAAAAAGAUUUUAGAUAAAUUCUGCUCAAUGAGUAAAUUAAAUAGCUGCAGUAAAUUAACUGUACUAAGGUAGCAUAAUAAGUUGCUUUAUAAUUAAAAGCUUGAAUGAAAGAAAUAAUGUGAAACAAGCUUUUUAAACUAAAGUAGUAAAAAUUAAUAUUUAAGUGAAAAAUCUUAAAUAAAAUCAAAAGACAAGAAGACCCUUUAGAACUUUACAAAUUAACUUAAUUUCAUUUGGUUAAUUUGUUAGAUUGGGGAGAUUUUUAAAUAAAUAAAUCUUUAGAUAUAAAAAAAUGAUUUAAAUCAAAUUAAAUUAUCCAAAUAUGAAAUAAAACAAGUUACCUAAGGGAUAACAGCGCAAAAUUUUUGAGAAGUUCUCAUUUACAAAAUAAAUUGCGACCUCGAUGUUGGAUUAAGAACAACUUAUAAAGCAAAAAUUGAUAAGAACCGGAGCUCGCGACCAUCU